UCCCUCAUAGCUCAGUUGGUUAAGAAUCUGCCUGCAGUACAGGAGACCCAGGUUUGAUCCCUGGGUCAGGGAA
rnacentral:tRNA from 1 species